GAUGAACGCUGACAGAAUGCUUAACACAUGCAAGUCUACUUGAAUUUGGGUUUUUAACUUAGGUUUGGGUGGCGGACGGGUGAGUAACGCGUAAAGAACUUGCCUCACAGCUAGGGACAACAUUUAGAAAUGAAUGCUAAUACCUAAUAUUAUGAUAAUAGGGCAUCCUAUAAUUAUGAAAGCUAUAUGCGCUGUGAGAGAGCUUUGCGUCCCAUUAGCUAGUUGGAGAGGUAACGGCUCACCAAGGCGAUGAUGGGUAGCCGGCCUGAGAGGGUGAUCGGCCACAAGGGGACUGAGACACGGCCCUUACUCCUACGGGAGGCAGCAGUGGGGAAUAUUGGACAAUGGACCGAGAGUCUGAUCCAGCAAUUCUGUGUGCACGAUGAAGUUUUUCGGAAUGUAAAGUGCUUUCAGUUGGGAAGAAAGAAAUGACGGUACCAACAGAAGAAGUGACGGCUAAAUACGUG
rnacentral:rRNA from 1 species